rnacentral:rRNA from 1 species
GACAGGGGUCUCGAGCGUUAAUCGGAAUUACUGGGCUUAAAGGGUGCGUAGGCGGACUCGUAAGCAUCUCGUGAAAGCCCCCGGCUCAACCGGGGAACUGCGGGGUGGACUGCGAGUCUUGAGGCAAGUAGGGGCGGGCGGAACUGUAGGUGGAGCGGUGAAAUGCGUAGAUAUCUACAGGAACGCCGAUGGUGAAGACGGCCCGCUGGGCUUGUCCUGACGCUGAGGCACGAAAGCGUGGGGAGCAAACAGG